CUCCGGGUCCGGGCCCCUCUGGCGACGACGGCGGUUGUCGUGAUGUCGGACCUUUGCA
rfam:Insolitispirillum peregrinum strain DSM 11589 genome assembly, contig: Ga0111619_105